rnacentral:rRNA from 1 species
UACGUAGGGUGCGAGCGUUGUCCGGAAUUACUGGGCGUAAAGAGCUCGUAGGCGGCUUGUCGCGUCGACUGUGAAAACCCGGGGCUCAACUCCGGGCUUGCGGGCGAUACGGGCAGGCUAGAGUUCGGUAGGGGAGACUGGAAUUCCUGGUGUAGCGGUGAAAUGCGCAGAUAUCAGGAGGAACACCGGUGGCGAAGGCGGGUCUCUGGGCCGAUACUGACGCUGAGGAGCGAAAGCGUGGGGAGCGAACAGG